AGAGUUUGAUCCUGGCUCAGGACGAACGCUGGCGGCGUGCCUAAUACAUGCAAGUCGAGCGGACAGAAGGGAGCUUGCUCCCGGAUGUUAGCGGCGGACGGGUGAGUAACACGUGGGUAACCUGCCUGUAAGACUGGGAUAACUCCGGGAAACCGGAGCUAAUACCGGAUAGUUCCUUGAACCGCAUGGUUCAAGGAUGAAAGACGGUUUCGGCUGUCACUUACAGAUGGACCCGCGGCGCAUUAGCUAGUUGGUGGGGUAAUGGCUCACCAAGGCGACGAUGCGUAGCCGACCUGAGAGGGUGAUCGGCCACACUGGGACUGAGACACGGCCCAGACUCCUACGGGAGGCAGCAGUAGGGAAUCUUCCGCAAUGGACGAAAGUCUGACGGAGCAACGCCGCGUGAGUGAUGAAGGUUUUCGGAUCGUAAAGCUCUGUUGUUAGGGAAGAACAAGUGCGAGAGUAACUGCUCGCACCUUGACGGUACCUAACCAGAAAGCCACGGCUAACUACGUGCCAGCAGCCGCGGUAAUACGUAGGUGGCAAGCGUUGUCCGGAAUUAUUGGGCGUAAAGGGCUCGCAGGCGGUUUCUUAAGUCUGAUGUGAAAGCCCCCGGCUCAACCGGGGAGGGUCAUUGGAAGCUGGGAAACUUGAGUGCAGAAGAGGAGAGUGGAAUUCCACGUGUAGCGGUGAAAUGCGUAGAGAUGUGGAGGAACACCAGUGGCGAAGGCGACUCUCUGGUCUGUAACUGACGCUGAGGAGCGAAAGCGUGGGGAGCGAACAGGAUUAGAUACCCUGGUAGUCCACGCCGUAAACGAUGAGUGCUAAGUGUUAGGGGGUUUCCGCCCCUUAGUGCUGCAGCUAACGCAUUAAGCACUCCGCCUGGGGAGUACGGUCGCAAGACUGAAACUCAAAGGAAUUGACGGGGGCCCGCACAAGCGGUGGAGCAUGUGGUUUAAUUCGAAGCAACGCGAAGAACCUUACCAGGUCUUGACAUCCUCUGACAACCCUAGAGAUAGGGCUUUCCCUUCGGGGACAGAGUGACAGGUGGUGCAUGGUUGUCGUCAGCUCGUGUCGUGAGAUGUUGGGUUAAGUCCCGCAACGAGCGCAACCCUUGAUCUUAGUUGCCAGCAUUCAGUUGGGCACUCUAAGGUGACUGCCGGUGACAAACCGGAGGAAGGUGGGGAUGACGUCAAAUCAUCAUGCCCCUUAUGACCUGGGCUACACACGUGCUACAAUGGACAGAACAAAGGGCUGCAAGACCGCAAGGUUUAGCCAAUCCCAUAAAUCUGUUCUCAGUUCGGAUCGCAGUCUGCAACUCGACUGCGUGAAGCUGGAAUCGCUAGUAAUCGCGGAUCAGCAUGCCGCGGUGAAUACGUUCCCGGGCCUUGUACACACCGCCCGUCACACCACGAGAGUUUGCAACACCCGAAGUCGGUGAGGUAACCUUUAUGGAGCCAGCCGCCGAAGGUGGGGCAGAUGAUUGGGGUGAAGUCGUAACAAGGUAGCCGUAUCGGAAGGUGCGGCUGG
rnacentral:rRNA from 1 species